AUUGAACGCUGGCGGCAUGCCUUACACAUGCAAGUCGAACGGUAACAGGGUGCUUGCACCGCUGACGAGUGGCGAACGGGUGAGUAAUGCGUCGGAACGUGCCGAGUAGUGGGGGGUAACGCAGCGAAAGUUGUUCUAAUACCGCAUACGUACUGAGGAAGAAAGUGGGGGACCUUCGGGCCUCACGCUAUUCGAGCGGCCGACGUCUGAUUAGCUAGUAGGUGAGGUAAAGGCUCACCUAGGCGACGAUCAGUAGCGGGUCUGAGAGGAUGAUCCGCCACACUGGGACUGAGACACGGCCCAGACUCCUACGGGAGGCAGCAGUGGGGAAUUUUGGACAAUGGGCGAAAGCCUGAUCCAGCCAUGCCGCGUGUCUGAAGAAGGCCUUCGGGCUGUAAAGGACUUUUGUCAGGGAGGAAAUCCCUAGUGCUAAUAACACUGGGGGAUGACAGUACCUGAAGAAUAAGCACCGGCUAACUACGUGCCAGCCGCCGCGGUAA
rnacentral:rRNA from 1 species